rnacentral:rRNA from 1 species
UACGUAGGCAGCGAGCGUUGUUCGGAGUUACUGGGCGUAAAGGGUGUGUAGGCGGUUGUUUAAGUUUGGUGUGAAAUCUCCCGGCUCAACUGGGAGGGUGCGCCGAAUACUGAAUGACUAGAGUGCGGGAGAGGAAAGUGGAAUUCCUGGUGUAGCGGUGAAAUGCGCAGAUAUCAGGAAGAACAUCCGUGGCGAAGGCGGCUCUCUGGGACGGUACUGACGCUGAGACGCGAAAGCGUGGGGAGCGAACAGG